CCCAUGAACUGUGACAUCAUGACCUGAGUUGAAGUCAGAUGCUUAACCUAUUGAGCCAUCCAGGUGCCCCUACAAAUGGUUGUGUUCUGAGGGAGAUAUAGUGGGGACCGACUUGAAUCUCUGGUACCAACAUUCUUGUCUACAUUGUUGUUGCCUCUUACACCUGCCUGGAUAGCGAAAACAGGGGCCUCAGUCCUACAUCUGGAAGGAACUGAAUUAUACCAACCCUCUAAAAGAGCGUGGAAGACGAUCUUGAACUUCAGAUGAAACAGAAGCCCAGAUGACACCUCAAUUUCAACCAUAUGAGACCCUAAGCACAGAACUCAGCCAUGACAUGCCAGACUCCUGACCCAUGGAAACUGUGGGAUAAUAAAUUUGUAUUAUUUUGAGCUGUUAAGAUUGUGGUAAUUUUUAUGUAGCAAUAGAAAACUAAUAUAUAUCCAUAUAUAUCUAUAUAUGAAUGAUGGGUAAAGUAAAAUAGUUAUAACUUGUGAUCAUAGGGCCCAUCAGAAGGUAAUAUCACAUGCUAAGUGUCCCCUUGGACUGUCCCAGGUAUAAAAAAACUAAAUUCUCAAAAUGUUCAAAAUAUGAUUUUUAUAUGAAUACUUACUAUAUGGCUAAAUUCUACUAAACCUGUUAAGCAUGGAAUCAGAAUGGCAAAAACCUUGGUUCAAAAAAGAAAUAAGUAAAGAGCAAAGGAUGACAGAAUAAGAUUGCUCACUGACAUACAAAACUGGUCUGUAUCCUCAAAGAGAAUUAAAUCGUAACCUUUGGAAGUAACUUUGCCAGAUGAGGAAUCAUUUUCACAUGAUUGAUUGUCUACAAAUUAACCACUAGAGUUUGGUUUCCAAUCAAUAGCAAAUACAAGUCAAACAAAAUUAGGUUCUUCUAGACAAUUAACUCUGAGGUGAUUUUGUUAGGUGAUGUGCUAGCAUGAUUUUGAAGGGAAGUGCAAUCAUUUUCCCCCUUUAUUCCCAAGUUUUGCAUUUUUUUUAAAUUAAUAGGUAUUAUUGAAUGUGGGAUAAGGUGAUGACUGAAGGCCUACUUAUUAACAACUUAUGGAUCUGACCAUUAAAAUGAUUUCAGAAUAGUGCAGGCUGGAUGAAGUCUAGGAGUAUUCAGACCUGCAAUAAUCAAUAAAAGCCACCAUAUUAAAUAAAUGUAUUUGUAAUACUUAAAUAUAAAUGUCACUAAAAUAAAAAUUCUUCUGAAAUUAGUUUAUCUGUUUAUAUUAUAUGCGUAUGUAUUAGAAAAAUAACAAGGAACAAUUUCUUUUUUUUUUUUUUUUAAAUGCUUGUUUAUUUAUUUUUGAGAGAGAGACAGAGCACUUGCAGGGGAGGGGCAGAGGGAGAGAGAGGGAGACACAGAAUCCGAAGCAGGCUCCAGGUUCCAAGCUGUCAGGACAGAGCCUGAUGUGGCCCAGGAACCUUGAGAUCAUGACCUGAGUGGAAGUCCAAUGCUUAACCAACUGAGCCACCCAGGAGCUCCGAUGAACAUUUCUCUUUCAACUCUUAACUAGUUGAAUGAGAAUUUAUGCAAAAGGUUUUUUUUUCCCCCAAACUAUUUGCCUUAGCAUUACAAUGAGAACUUUUGGUCCCUUUAGGAUUUUAAGAUUUCUGCCAAUUAACUCAUUAUUCCUAACUGGGACAGUCUCAUUUUUAUCUCAUUUCUUUCAAUGUCUUGGUUAUCUCAACCUGCUCCACUUAAUAUAAUCUAAGGUUAAGUCCAGCAAUUCAGCGACAAUUCUCUGGUCAAGUUGCCAACAAUCAAUUAAUUGCUAAACCCCACCAAAAGAGAAAAGAAACAAAACAAAACACUUCUUAACCUACUUUUCCUUUUUACUAUCAUACUAUGUUGUACUUACCUCCAAGAGGAUGCAAAAACACUUGCAGGUUUCCUGGAGAAUAUUUCUUGGAAGGAAGGAAAUAUUCAUUACUUUUUGUCGUUAUCUCAAUCUAACACAAAACUGUUACCUUAGUUGGCACUUAUUCAAUGAAUAUAGGUAAUUUUAAGAGAUAGGUUAGUUAAGGAUGAAAGCUUAUAUCUUGUGUGUUAUUAUUGGCCACAGGUAUGAAGGAAACGGUUUCUUGAGAAGAUUGGAACACUCUGCAUUUGAACUAACUAGCUUUAGCAUUCUAAUUGAAGAUUUUUUAAACUUCUGGAAGCUCUCUAGUGUUCUCUGUUAAGUCUAUCAUUUCAAUUAUAAGUUUUUCUAUGGUCUUGGCACUCUGUUUGGAAAUCAAAUGCAUAUAAUUAAAUGGAGAUUGUGGAAGGAAAAACAUUACACUUCCCUUUAUUUCUUUUUUUUUUUUAAGAUUUUAUUUUUAAGUAAUCUCAACAUGCAACAUGGGGCUUGAAUUCACAACCCCUGAAAUCGACAGAUGACUGCAUCACCAACUGACCCAGCCAGAUGCCCCUAACUUUUGUUUCUUAAUCAAAAUUUGUCGUUGUAACUCAUACUAAUACCAACUGAUGUAUAUUUUAUAGUCGUAGUUUAAAUAUUAUAAAUGAACAAUAUAUGCCUGUGUAUUCUAACAGAAAUCUCAAACGUGAUAUAAAUUAGUCACUUGCUCGAUAUGUGACCAGUUACCACAAAGAACGUAAGGUAGAAAUUGUGGAGUUUUGUCUUUGUUUACAAGUAAAUUAAUAUAAAAAAUUUAUUCUGGGGUAAUUUGAACCAGCGUCAAUUUUUAAACCUCUUUUCGUCUUAUCCUAAAUGAGAA